rnacentral:misc_RNA from 1 species
CAUUACACAAAAAAUAUGAAGGCUGUAUGCGGCUGUGUCUCUUUCGGGGGGCCAGCUUUUGCGGAGGCUGAAAUAUUUUUCACCCAUGUCUUUUGCGCACUUGUUGUUUCCUGGGCGGGUUUCGCCCGCCACCAGGACCACACCAUAAACCUUUUUUAUGCAGUUGCAAUCAGCGUCAGUAUAACAAAUGUAAAUCAUUUACAACUUUCAACAACGGAUCUCUUGGUUCUGGCAUCGAUGAAGAACGCAGCGAAAUGCGAUACGUAGUGUGAAUUGCAGAAUUCAGUGAAUCAUCGAAUCUUUGAACGCACAUUGCGCCCUUUGGUAUUCCAAAGGGCAUGCCUGUUCGAGCGUCAUUUGUACCUUCAAGCUUUGCUUGGUGUUGGGCGUCUUUUUUUUGUCUUGGGCCUUUUUGUGCCCUGAGACUCGCCUUAAAACGAUUGGCAGCCGGCCUACUGGUUUCGGAGCGCAGCACAUUUUUGCGCUUGCAAUCAGCAAAAGAGGCCAGCCAUCCAUCAAGACCAUUCUUCUCACUUUUGACCUCGGAUCAGGUAGGGAUACCCGCUGAACUUAAGCAUAUCAAUAA